UACAGAGGGGGCAAGCGUUGUCCGGAUUUACUGGGCGUACAGCGCGCGCAGGCGGUUGCGUAUGUGAGCGGUGACAUCCGCGGGCUCAACCCGUGGCGGCCCGCUUACACAGCGCGACUGGAGGCAGGGAGAGGGAUGUGGAAUACCCGGUGGAGCGGUGAAAUGCGUAGAGAUCGGGUGGAACACCAGCGGCGAAGGCGGCAUCCUGGCCCUGUACUGACGCUGAGGCGCGAUAGCGUGGGGAGCAAACGGG
rnacentral:rRNA from 1 species